rnacentral:tRNA from 1 species
AUCUCUCUAGUACUAAAUAGUAUAAGUGACUUCCAAUCACACGGUCUUGGUUUAACCCAGGGAGAGAUA